rnacentral:lncRNA from 1 species
UCCAUAAGUUUUAAGUCAGAUUCUCCAUAAUCGAGUCACCGGUCUUUAGUAUUUUUCAAAUACUUAAGGAUAACCUUCCAGUGAUUCUCACCCAGACCUUGCAAGUAUCUACUCACUAUCCUAGUGAGUAUACUAUAUUCGAUUCUCAUACAUGGUGUACAUGAUAGAAUAAAUUCUACUCAUAAAUACUCUAUAUAUGUUGGAC